GGCCGGAACAUGCACUUGGGGAAGAGCCCCCGCUCUUCCCAGCCGCGAGGGGAAACUCGGAAACAGUCAGGUCUCAGCGGAGGCUGUUUUCCCGGAACUCCCUCGCCCCUCCGCGGCCCGUUCCGCACGCCCGCCCCGGGGGAGGCACAGCCGCCGCUCGCCAGCUCAGCCCCGAGGAGCGCUCGGGGGGAAGGCCUCCCCGCGCGUUACCAGCGGUCGUACAGGGAGAGCCGUGUUGUUGUCCCCCCACACCCGAGAGAACGCGGCGCCCUUGGCCUUUGGGAAAGAGCGUGUUUAACGGAGCGAGGUGGAGGAGGGAAGCCAGCGACCCAGGGCGCCUCAGCGCGGGGCGCCACCUCUACAGCCGCGGGCGCCAACCCCACAAGGCGACGUCCCCUGUGACCACCGCGCUCCGGUCAGGUCUCGCCACAGCCCGCUGCCGCCCGGCCCCGGCCAUCUCGGCAGACAGAAGUGAGCGACGCGGUGCCCCCCCUCCCGGCGCCCAGAGCUUCCGUCGCAACCACGCGCCGCCGCUCUCCUCACCCGUCCCGAGCCGCCUCACCCUGUCAGGGGGACUCCAGUCAACUUCGUGCCGCUCUUGCCGUCGCCCCUCCAGCCGCGCUCGCCGCCGGAGCUGAGGGCGGACUGCCCGCCCCUUCCAGCGGGGGAGGGGGGUGCCGGGGCCGGGGCCGGGGCCGCGCCCGGGCCGUGCCGUGCCGUGCCGGGGAGGAGCCAGGCGGGGGGCGCUCCCUCAGAACUGAUCUGCGUGAGGACAUUAUGCAGCCACAUUACUGUGUCCUGCGGAAUAGGAGAGAAUACUGUGAACUGGAAAAGAUGCUGAGACAAAAUCUCUUUUGACAUCCGGCCGAACAUUCGUGAAAGCAGCUGGUCCCAGAGGUGGAACAUUCCAAAACCCCAUUUGGAGCCAAGUGAGUACGUUACGGAGUAAGUCGUGACACCACUUUAUAGAGAACAGACAAUGAGUUUUGGAUCUUGUAAGUACCUUUCCUCCCUGCAAAUAAGUUCCCUUCCCCCAUACUUUUGGAAACAUCUCAGUCUGUAUUGGAAACAGAGGAUGUAAUUUAUUUUUAUCGCCUUCCCUGUCAAACUGGCCAACUGCCACAGGGUUCUGCUUUCAGAUGUAGCAAGAGGCAGGAGAAUCACAGUGACGAACCAUUCAUUUCAGUGGCUCCUCCUGUUUCCUUAUCUUAUUUUGAGGCUACCUACUGCGCUACCUUAUCACUCUUUCUAAUCCUGCAAAACUUCUCUGCAACUUGACCCCUCCACAGAAAAAGCUGACCUGUUUAGACCUCCCUGCUUCUCUACUCCUGCUCCCUUCCUCGCAGAGGAAGUUGCUCCUUCCUUUGUUACUUUAGAACUCCUUUUUCAAUGCCUAUCUCAGCCCCUCUCUCCUCCUUUUCCUAGCUCAUUAUAUUGCAUUACAUUUCCUAACUGAAUGCACAUACAGCUGUGUGGCCUCCUUUGGGUAUGCUUAAUUUCUCACUGUCCAGCCUGCCCUUUGAUGUCUGCUGAAGAAGGAUACAUCUUCUUUUCCAUCUCUUCACAUGUGCCUAUUAAUUACUCUCUUCAGAGAGACUGUUUACUGACUAUCACUCUGUUUACAGUUGAAUACAGCUAAACAUUUGGUCUUCACAGUUCCCCCUCUUGUACACCACCCACCCAGUUUCUUCCCAAUUGUUGCAAAAUAGAUGUCUCCAAAUCACUUUAGAAAAUCACAGAUGCAUUGUACUUACAUUCCCACACCCAGCCUCCUGCUCUCAAACACUGUUUUUGCUUCACUUACAGAGAUGUAAAGAAAGGCUUUACACUGGUAUUUUUUGUCUCUAGUUCUCUAAUGAAAAAGAAGCAGCGAGGCUUAACAAUUUGACCUUUCUGUUGCGCAUAUUCCUACCUUGGGCGCUGUAGAGAACCCUGAAAGAUCUGUAAGCAUCAGACUUCUGACCUGUGAAGAAAUAAUACAAACUCAGUAUGAAGUACAGAAGAAUGCCUACUGAAGUGAGGAGGGUUAUCCUAUGCAUAAACUGUGCAUAUGUCUUUGUGUGACCAAGACCUUUGGGCAGAGGGAAUUUUAAUAUGCUGGGGAGGGAUAAAAAUUACUCUAGCAAAUGUGCAGAAGAGAAGAAUUAUACGGUUAUAAUGCAGCAAUUGAGAUCUAAGAUGAAAAUUCCUUCAGAUGUCCUUCUCAUUCCAUAUGGAGCUUAAAAUAUUACAAAAUAAUAUGAAAUAAAUGUAAAACAAA